GACGAACGCUGGCGGCGUGCUUAAUACAUGCAAGUCGAACGGAAAGACCCCCACCUUGCUGCGCUUGCGUGAGUGGCGAACGGGUGAGUAACACGUGGGUGAUCUGCCUUUUACUCUGGGAUAAGCUCGGGAAACUGGAUCUAAUACCGGAUAAUAUCAUGAUCCAGUGUGUUCUAUAGUAAAAGUCGGUGUUGUGGUGCAGUAUAAGCUCGCGGCCUGUGGGUUUGUUUGUAGGGUAAUUGCCUACCAAGCCAGCGAUGGGUGGCCGGCCGGAGAGGGGGGGCGGGCGCACUGGAAGUGAGACAGGGUCCAGACUCCUAGGGGGGGCAGGAGUAGGGGAUCUUCGGCAAUGGGCGGAAGCCUGACGGAGCAAGGGCGCGUGAGUGAUGAAGGUCUUCGGAUGGUAAAACUCUGUUAUUAGGGAAGAACAAAUGUGUAAGUAACUAUACACGGCUUGACGGUACCUUAUCAGAAAGCCACGGCUAACUACGUG
rnacentral:rRNA from 1 species